UACAGAGGGUGCAAGCGUUAGUCGGAGUUACUGGGCGUAAAGGGCGUGUAGGCUGGUAUCUUAGUCGGUUGUGAAAUCCCUGGGCUUAACCUAGGAAUUGCAGUCGAUACUGGAUAUCUUGAGUAUGGUAGAGGAAAGUGGAAUUCUCGGUGUAGUGGUUAAAUACGUAGAUAUCGAGAAGAACAUCAGUGGCGAAGGCGACUUUCUGGCCCAAUACUGACGCUGAGGCGCGAAAGCGUGGGGAG
rnacentral:rRNA from 1 species